rnacentral:tRNA from 1 species
UCCUUUAUAGCUCAGUGGGUAAAGAAUCUGCCUGUAAUGCAGAAGACCUGGGUUCAAUUCCUGGGUUGGAA